rnacentral:rRNA from 1 species
AGUGAACGCUGGCGGUAGGCCUAACACAUGCAAGUCGAACGGCAGCACAGUAAGAGCUUGCUCUUACGGGUGGCGAGUGGCGGACGGGUGAGGAAUACAUCGGAAUCUACUUUUUCGUGGGGGAUAACGUAGGGAAACUUACGCUAAUACCGCAUACGACCUACGGGUGAAAGCAGGGGAUCUUCGGACCUUGCGCGAUUGAAUGAGCCGAUGCCGGAUUAGCUAGUUGGCGGGGUAAAGGCCCACCAAGGCGACGAUCCGUAGCUGGUCUGAGAGGAUGAUCAGCCACACUGGAAGUGAGACACGGUCCAGACUCCGACGGGAGGCAGCAGUGGGGAAUAUUGGACAAUGGGCGCAAGCCUGAUCCAGCCAUACCGCGUGGGUGAAGAAGGCCUUCGGGUUGUAAAGCCCUUUUGUUGGGAAAGAAAAGCAGCAGGUUAAUACCCCGCUGUUCUGACGGUACCCAAAGAAUAAGCACCGGCUAACUUCGUG